AUGGCCAAGGGGGCGCUCUACAUCUACAUGAUGUUCGCGCUUGCACUGACGAGCUGCGCACUCGCGGGCCGCGUCCUCAACGACCAUCCCGCGGCGCCUCCGGUAGAGACCGAUCCAUUGCCGGGGCCGACCGACCCGCCUGUCGACCCAGAGGUAGUGCCGGUCCCCGCGCCCACGGCGGCGUUGCCUUUGCCAUCCAAUGCCGCGGGCGCCGCUGGCGUAGCUCCGGCCGCUGGCGUUGGUGCAACGGCCAACGUAGGAGCCGGCGACAGCCCCCUGACGUUCUUCAUGCAUGACAUCCUCGGCACCUCGUCGCAGACGUCGGCGCUCAUGGUGACCGGGGUGGUGGCGAGCGCCGACGGCCUGGCCAGCGGCAACAACGUCGUCCCCUACGACAGCCUCGUCCAGAGCAACGGAAACGCCGUCAACGGCGGCUACAAGAACACCAUCCCCUCCGUCAACGGUUCUGGCGGUGGCGACACGCCCCAGACCCAGAACCUCCUCCUCGGCAUGACCACCGUCGUGGACGAGGAGCUCGCCGGGGGCCAUGAGCUCGGCGCCGCGGCCGUCGGCAGGGCGCAGGGGUUCUACGUCGCGAGCUCGCAGGACGGCAGCAGCAAGACGGUCGUGCUGACGGCCAUGUUCGGCGGCGAAGUGCACGGCGACACGCUCAGCUUCUUCGGGGUGCACCAGUUGGCGGCGCCGGAGUCCCGCAUCGCCGUCAUUGGCGGCACAGGGAAGUACGAGACCGCCAAGGGCUUCGCCGCCAUCCGCACGCUGCACCCCGGCGACCAGCACGCCGCCGACGGCGUCGAGGGCCUCCUCCAGUUCGACAUUCACCUCUCCUGA
rnacentral:rRNA from 1 species